GAACUUGGCUGGGACGCUAUGAACUGCUAAUUACAUAGUUCCGUGGUUCGACUCCACGGCUCGUUCG
rnacentral:tRNA from 1 species